AUGAACCUAGCACUCUGGGGGACCCAUGCUGUGGCCCCUCCUCUACUUAGAACCUCUUCCAGACUCUUUCCUUCCGUUGCUUUAACUGAGUGGGAGAAGACCUACCCCUAAAUCAAGAUAUGGCCCAGACCCCUGAAGGUGAAGCAGCCUCUCAAUCCCAGUCCCCGACGCCAGCCCCAAGGAAGCCAAAGCAGGCAUACUCAGUCACUGAAGUAAAAAUAGCUGGUUACAGCAGCUGAGGCAGUGUGGGGGGAGACUGAGGGAGGGAGACAGCACUGGGAGCCCGAAGCCAGCUGGGGCGGAAGGCGGGAGAGUUGGGGAGACCCCAGCCAGGGCUGCUGAAGAAGGCUGAAGGUCGGUGCCAGUGCUGAGGCCCUGGCGUGUGGUGGGAGGAGGCCAGGUGGCUGGACAGCUCUGUUUGUCCUGUAGGUGUGGGCAGGGAGGCAGCUGGAAGGAAGGAGUCAAGGGCUGAUUUGCCCCAGCCUCUGGGUUCUGUGUGGAGCCUCCAUAGUCCAGUAGAAAGAUUUCUGUUUGAAGUGACAGACUACGCCUUCCCUCCCUCCCACGGCUGCAAAGGAUUUUAUAGUCAAAUAUCUGCUCACAGAGAGAAAAUACCAGGCAGGACGUGUGUGGACUGUAAAUCCAAGAGGGCACAUCUGUGGGCUUGACCGUUAUCUUCCCAUCAAGAGGCAUCAGGAUUUCACUGCCCGGGGAGGUCCCCGCCAAGGUUUCGGGUUCGUCAGUGGAAAGAGAAUACGAACUCCAUGAAUACAAGAGUUUUUGCUGGUUUGUUUACUACGGUAUCCUCGGUGCUUGUCACAUAGGAGGCACUAAAUAUUUGUUUACUGAAUAAAUGAUGAGUGAAGAGUGAAUUGGGCAUCUAAAAAUCACCUGAUCAAGGCUGGAAGCCUUUUUAAAAGGUUGUAAUUGGGGAGAGCUGGGGUAGAAAUUUUGCAAAGCCUGAAUUCGAGAUCCAUCCAUUCAUUUCUUGAGCACUGCUGUAUGGCAGGCACGACAGAUGUUUGAGAUGCAGAAAUGAACCAGAUAUGACCCCUGUCUUUAAGAGGGUCACAGGAGACUAAACAAAAUAAAGGCCAAAAAUGCCACUGGAGUUUAAUUACACAACAAGCCAAUGAGGUCAGUGCUAUUAUUUGCCCUGUUUUAUAAUUGAGAAGAUAAGAGCACAGAGAGGUUAAGUAAUUUGCCUGAGAUCACACAGCUAGGAAAUGGUGAAGGUAGGCUUCAAAUCCAAGCAUUCUGGUCCAGAGUUGGAACUCUUAGCUACCACUCUACAUUAGAAAGAUAAGAAGGGGAGAGAAUCUUAACUGUUUAUAAAGGUGUAAAACGCCCUGAAGUUUGCUUUGUCAGGAGUAUUAGAGAUCUACAGACAGCAAAACCUCUUCCGUUCUAGGGUCCUGGAGACUGAAAAUCUGAAAACUGUCUGGACACUCUUUCCAGAAACAUACACGGUUGCAAAUGUAAUUCUAGGGGUUUGUGGGUCCCCUACAGCCUAUCCAUGGACCCAUUAGGUCUGUGAACUUGAGGCUAAUGGGUCGAAGGUUUCCAAUUUGGCCGGAGAUGGGUAUAGGGGUGGGAGGUGGGUUUGCUAAAUGGGACCAAGGUUCUGGUUCUGAGGUCAGAACCAGUCUCAGCUAAGCUGCCUGCCACUCUGCUCAGUGCUUCGGAGAUGAGAGCUCCCACUUCAAACUCUGAGUCAUCCAGUGCAAUUUCUUUACAUAUUUUCACAAGAAAAGAGGCUUUAUUUGGAAUGAUUUGCCAACAUAUUAUAAAUCAAGAGACAUACAAAACAGACUUAAAGGAGCCACAGAAACUCACAGAGUUUCAGAAACUGUAAAAAUAAACCACUUCCAAAGGACAUAUAAAGUCAACUCUAGACAGAAGAACAAAUGAAAUCAAUUCACUUUUCAAGAGGUUACAAAUCUAGCUAAUAGAAGGCACAGCUCUCUUCUUCUUCAAAAACGGAAUCAAGCUAACACUUGAACAGGAUUUCAAAGUAAAAACCUUUGGAAAAAUCCAGCAAUGAAAAGUAACAGCUGCGUCUCUCCCCAUCUUGAUUCCCAGACCCUUGAGGUAACUCCUUCUACCUGUUCUGUUUUUACUGCUUCUGGGGGCAAACUCCUGAUCUCUAAAUAACAUACUUGACGUCUGCUGUCCUGGUGUCAUAGCAAGGAUUCAGGUUAUGUCACCACCUCUAUGACAUCCCUCCCAUUUCUUUAUAGUUAACUUACUAUUUCCCCCUCUAUUGCACUGACUGACAUUGUAACUUUGAAAAUAUAUGUGCUUAAAUCUUUAUCUCUUGCUCAUUCAACUUCUGACAUCUCCCUUGAUUUGCUGCUUUACAGAUGAGAAAAUGGAUGCUUGGGAGGAUGGUCGUUUGCCCAAAGCCACACGGUUGCAGCACAAUCUGCACAAAACACGUGGCAGAACCGUGCCCGUGUUCCCAGCUGCUGUUUAGGGGGAAACAUUGUGUUUUGGAGCAUCCCAGCUUUGGAAUCGAUUGACCUGAACGUUGUCAGAUGUGUUCUCAGAAUACAUGAAAUUGUGUUCUGCGUAAAUAUUAAACUACAAAAGCCGUUAACCAUAUCUUGUAUGCACUGUUGACAGACUAAAGACCACCCUCAAAUCCAACCAAUCAGGACUCAGCAGUGCCCAACACAGGCCAUCAGAGUUCAGUGACUGAGCCGUGAGCUUGGCAGCUGUGCAUAACCAAAUUAGGUUAAUUCAGAAACUAAAUCAUUUGUAUCUGGUAACAACAAUUAAACAUAACUUGAGAUCACAACAUUAUGGGAGCAAAACCUUUGAAUUAGGUCAUUCAAAAGAUAGAGUAACUUGUUUCUGUGUGAUUUCCACCUUUAGUAGGGAGCGGUGGGGUGGGGAGUAUGGUCUGCAGGUUCAUUAGGAGGUGUGGCGUGUGCUUUAUUUCUGUGCCAAUCUGGAACCAUAGAAACCUAUGCAUAAUUUGAAUGGUAUUUAUGUCUGCUGUGGAGCAGGACCCCACCAAGUGAUUUCAAAGCAGUAUUUCAUACGUGGUUGAUGAUUAUCUUGGGGCCAUACAAUUAUCCAAAGUAACAGAAUAUAACUAGUAAGGCAGUCUUUUGCCAACUAAGGCAUUCUGAAGAACUCCAAAAGUUAUAAAUUAGCUAAAUGCUGUCUUUAGACUUGGAGAGCUUUAGAGUUCCUUGCAACAUAGUGACAGGGUAAACCCGUGGACAUCAAAAUCUUGUAAAGAGUAUGGAAGAAUCUGCUGUGUUCCCAAAAAUUCCUUUCCUUUUCUUCCUGGGCAUUCAGAUAGACUCAAUUUCGUGGCCUCCCUUACAUUUAGGUGUGGCCAUGUCACUGAGUUCUGGCCAAUGAACUGUGAUUGCGACAGACCAAAAUAGUUAAGAAAUUGGUCUGUGUCACUGGGAACAAGGUCAGUAUACAAAAAUCAAUAGUAUUUCUUGAUACUAGCAAUAAACAAUUUGAAAGUAAAAUUUCAAUAAAUAGUUCCAUUAUCAAUCAUACCAAAAAGCAUCAGCUAGGAAUAAGUAUAACCGAAGAUGUGCAAGACCUCUAUACAGAAAACUACAAAACAUUACCAGGAAAAAUUGAAGAAAGAAGAAAGAGGAGUUAUAUACCAUGUUCAUGGACUUAAAGAAUAUUAUAAAGCUGUUAACUCUUUCCGAUUUUAUCUGUAGAUUCAAUUCAUUCCCAAGCAAAAUCCCCUCAGAUGUAUAUGUGUGUUUUUGUGUGUGUGAAAACUGACAAACAAAUUCUGAAAUGCAAAGUACCAGGAAUGACAAAGACAAUCUUGAGUAAGAACAAAGUUAGAGGAUGUAAAUCACUGAUUUUUAAGCUGCCAUAAUUAAAACUGUGUGGUAUUGGCAAAAGUAUAGACAAAGAGACUAAAAUAAUAAGAGUCCCCAGAUCGAUCCACACACAUGUAAUCACCUGAUUUGCAACAAAGGUGCACUGCAAUAUAGCAGGAGAAGGUUGGUCUUUUCAGUAAAUGAUGCUGACCCAUUGGAUAUUGACAUGGGGAAAACCUUGACUUCUGCAUCAUACCAAACACAAAAAUAAAUAACAGCUAAUUUACAGGCCUGAAUGUGAAAGGUAAAAAAUAAAGUUUCCAAAAGAUAACUAAGGAAACAGAAAAGAAUAUGUUUGUGACCCUGGGAGAGGCAAAGAUUUCUUUAACAGGAUAUAAAAAGUCCUACCCAUUAUAGAAAAGAUUGGUGCUCCAUAAUUCAUUAAAAUUUAAAACAUUUGUUCAUUAAAAUAUAAAAACCAUGAAAGGAGUAAAAGGCAAGCCACAGAGUGUGAGAAUAUAAUUGUAAUCCCAUAUAACUGGCAAGUAAUUCACGUCCAGAAUAAGAAAAAGACAAAAUACCUAAAAGAAAAGUAGACCAAAGACUUGAACAGAAAAUUCCCAAAAAAGAACACCAAAGUGGCCAAUGAGCCUUUAAAAAAGAUGUUCAAUAUCAUUAGUCAAUAUGAAAAUGCAAAUUAAAACCACAGUGAGAUACCACUGCAUUCACACCAGAAUGGCUAAAUAAGAAAGACAGACAAUACCAAGAGUUAGCAGGGAUAUGAAGCAACAGUUGAACUCUCAUGCAAUGCUGGUGGGCAUAUAAAUUUGUAUAACCACUUUAGAAAACUGUUUGGCAACCUCUACUAAAGUUUUAUAUGACCCAGCAAUUCUACCACUAGGUAUAUACCCAACAGAAAUGGACAGAUAUGUACACGACACGUUCAUAAUAGCUUGCUGAUAAUAGUCCAAAACUAAAAAAGCAAUCCAAAUGCCCAUCAGCAGUAGAAUGGAUAAGUUGUGGAAUAUUCAUGCAGUGGAAUAUUAUACAGCAAUGAAAUAGAAUUAACUACUCUUUGAAGCCACAUUAUGAAUGAAUCUCACAGACAUGAUAUUGUGCAAAAGUAGAUGGAACUUCCCUAUGCUCUCUUUUCUCAUCUGUCAACCGAAUAACAAGGAUUCAAAGGACGAGAAGAGCGUGGAGCCACACAAUAAAGCUUGGGGAACCCCGAAUGAUGAUGUGAAAGCUUACCUGCCCAGGAACACCCACUUUGCAUUAUGAAUGAAAAUAACUUUUCAUGUUAAGUCACCGAGACUUUGGAGUAAAUCUAUUGCAUCGCUCAGCAUUACUUCUCCUCGGUGGGAUGUAGGACAAUACAUUUAAGUGAUAACAGGUAGUACCAUCAGAAUGUGCUCGAGAAGCUCCUUAGAAGGAGAAGCCACCAGGGCUGGUGUUGUCAGGAAAGGUCUUUUCCCAUCUGCAAGAGCUGGAAGUCAAGUGGAGGAUGGGGCUUGGGUCCCUCAAAGGAGAAAUCCUUCCAGGUAGGGGCAGGGGCUGGGGCCUGAUGUUGAUGGAGGACAGAUGGGGAGCAGCCUUUGCAGGUACCCUUGUCACCCAGUGCAGGAUCUGGGAACAGAAGGGUCACUAGCCCGUCUCUCCUCAGCAGAUCCUCAGCCCUUGCUUUGAAAUGACGUAUGUGCUCAGCCUACACAUUCAAGGCAGUUUCAAGUGAGAUGUAUGUAAUUCCUUUCCUCUGACAACAUGUUCCACUGUGUUCUGUUUCAUAAUUAUCUGCUUUCAGGAAAAUUUAUGGAGCCUGAUGAAUAGCUUAACAUUUCUUUCUUUGAACUCCCAGAUGUUCUGAGCAGAUUCCAACUUCCAGCCCAUGUUCCCAGCCCUUCACCAGAGCUGUCUGCUAAUUUUCUAAUCCUCCCCGGGACAUUCCUAUUUCCUGGGGAGAAAUAAGAAAACAACAGUGCUUUGCUAAGAGUGGUGUGCUUCAGCCCUGAGGCCUGGAAUCUCCAUUUUCAGGAAAAAUGUUCACAAGGGUAUAAAAGCUCUAAAAGGAAAGGGGCCUGUGAGUUUCCUGGGAAAGAAUUUGAGACCCCACGAUGAGGAUGUGCUGUAGAAUUUCGCUGCCUUUCUCAGGAUGGGGCUGUCUAGGAAGUUCAUUCUGAUUAAAAAAAUAUAUCACAGUGGAGAUGUGUGUGUGAGUGGGUGUGUGAAACAGAUCUGAGAAAAAGACAGGCAAAAGCAAAGAAAGUGGAGGAGAUUAGGAGAGAGGUCAAAGGCAAAUAGUUCUCUUUCCUUCCAAAAAAUCUCUUCUGGGCACUUGAAUUUUUUUAUGAUGGGAAUGUUCAAAAAAUGCAAAAGUAGAGAAAACAGAGUAAUGAACUACUGGGUACCUCUCAUUCCGAUUUCAACAACUAUCAACAUUUGUCACCUAUCUGCUCCCCUCCUUUCUUUGCACUAGAGCUGGGAUUGGCCAACUCCAACCCCCAGGGGCCAAAUCGACUUGCCUCCUGUUUUUGUAAAUAAAGUUUUAUUGGAACA